rnacentral:rRNA from 1 species
UCAAGCAAGAAAGAGCACAAGGAGAAUGCCUUGGCACUAGGAGCCGAUGAAAGACGUGGUAAGCUGCGAAAAGCUUCGGGGAGGCGCAAACAGCCAUCGAUCCGGAGAUAUCUGAAUGGGGAAACCUACUUGAGCAAACCUCAAGUAUCCAUACGUGAAUCCAUAGCGUAUGGAAGGGAACGCUGUGAACUGAAACAUCUAAGUAGCAGUAGGAGGAGAAAGAAAACUCGAUUUCCUAAGUAGCGGCGAGCGAACGGGAAAGAGGCCAAACCGAAGGACCUGGUUCUUCGGGGUUGCGGACUGCAAUUAGCAUUGCUGAGAGAUAGACGAAUGGUUUUGGGAAAGCCAGCCGUAGACGGUGAAAGCCCGGUAGACGAAAUCUUGAAGCAGCGAGCAGGAUCCAGAGUACCACGAGACACGAGAAACCUUGUGGGAAGCCGGGGGGACCACCCCCCAAGCCUAAAUACUCCCUAGUGACCGAUAGUGAAGCAGUACUGUGAAGGAAAGGUGAAAAGGACCCCGGGAGGGGAGUGAAAGAGAACCUGAAACCUUGUGCUUACAAACAGUCAAAGGCCUACGGGCUGAUGGCGUACUUUUUGUAGAACGGUCCGGCGAGUUACUAAUGCCAGCGAGGUUAAGAUGUCAGAAGCAUCGGAGCCGAAGGGAAACCAAGUCUGAAUAGGGCGUAGAGUUGGUAUUAGUAGACCCGAAACCGGGUGACCUAUCCAUGUCCAGGUUGAAGGAACCGUAAAAGGUUUUGGAGGACCGAACACACAUGUGUUGAAAAACGUGGUGAUGAGGUGUGGAUAGCGGAGAAAUUCCAAUCGAACUCGGAGAUAGCUGGUUCUCCUCGAAAUAGCUUUAGGGCUAGCCUCGAGCUGGAGUCUAACGGAGGUAAAGCACUGAACUGACGCGGGGCCCAAAAAGGUUACCAACUCAUAUCAAACUAAGAAUGCCGUCAAGAUACCCUCGGGAGUCAGUCUGCGUGAGAUAAGUCGCGUGGACAAAAGGGAAAGAGCCCAGACCGACAGCUAAGGUCCCAAAGUACGUGUUAAGUGGAAAAGGAUGUGGGAUUUCAUAGACAACUAGGAUGUUGGCUUAGAAGCAGCCAUACAUUUAAAGAGUGCGUAAUAGCUCACUAGUCGAGAAAACCUGCGCCGAAAAUGUAACGGGGCUAAAACACGACACCGAAGCUACGGAUUCCUUACAAAGUAAGGAGUGGUAGAGGAGCAUCCUGCAAGGACGAAGCCAAAGUGAGAGCGAUGGUGGACGAAACAGGAGAGAGAAUGCCGGAAUGAGUAGCGAGAUACAUGUGAGAAACAUGUAGGCCGAAUAUCUAAGGAUUCCUGGGUAAAGCUAAUCUUCCCAGGGUUAGUCGGGGCCUAAGGCGAGGACGAAAGUCGUAGUCGAUGGAUAACAGGUUGAUAUUCCUGUACUACACAUAAUCAGAACUGUGGGGACGCAGGAGGAUAGGGAAACCGGGGAAUGGAAAGACCCGGUCAAGCGUAAAGCUGUGGGAGAUAGGCAAAUCCGUCUCCUGUAAGUGAAACGUGAUGAGGACUGAAAAAAAGUAAGGAAGUUUCCGAAUCCACACUGCCGAGAAAAGCCGCUAUUGCGUUAUGUGUACCCGUACCGUAAACCGACACAGGUAGAUGAGGAGAAAAUCCACAGGCCGACGGGAGAAGUGUUGUUAAGGAACUCGGCAAAAUGACCCCGUAACUUCGGGAUAAGGGGAGCCUCGCAAGAGGCCGCAGAAAAGAGGCACAAGCAACUGUUUAGCAAAAACAUAGGUCUAUGCGAAACCGUAAGGUGAAGUAUAUGGGCUGACGCCUGCCCGGUGCUGGAAGGUUAAAAGGAGAGGUCAGCGCAAGCGAAGCUUUGAAUUCAAGCCCCAGUAAACGGCGGCCGUAACUAUAACGGUCCUAAGGUAGCGAAAUUCCUUGUCAGGUAAGUUCUGACCCGCACGAAAGG